rnacentral:misc_RNA from 1 species
UUUCCGUAGGUGAACCUGCGGAAGGAUCAUUAUUGUAUAACCGAGGUGCGAGGGCUGUCGCUGACCCGCAUGGUCGUGCACGCCCGAGUGCCCUCACACACAUCCAUCUCACCCCUUUGUGCACCACCGCGUGGGUCCCCCUUUGGCUUGUUCGGAGGGGGGCUUACGUUUUCACACAAACUUUGUAUGCAGUGUAGAAUGUAUUUUUUGUUUUUGCGAUCACGCAAUCAAUACAACUUUCAACAACGGAUCUCUUGGCUCUC